GCCUAACACAUGCAAGUCGAACGAGGUCCAACCAGUGGCAACACUGGGGAAGACCUAGUGGCGAACGGGUGAGUAUCACGUGAGGAACCCACCCUGGAGACCGGGAUAACCCUCCGAAAGGAGAGCUAAUACCGGAUGCCCUCAUCGGAUCGCAUGGUCUGAUGAGGAAAUGGAUUCCGCUCCAGGACGGCCUCGCGGCCUAUCAGCUUGUUGGUGGGGUAACGGCCCACCAAGGCAGCGACGGGUAGCUGGUCUGAGAGGACGAUCAGCCACACUGGGACUGAGACACGGCCCAGACUCCUACGGGAGGCAGCAGCGGGGAAUAUUGCACAAUGGGCGAAAGCCUGAUGCAGCGACGCCGCGUGGGGGAUGAAGGCUCGCGGGUUGUAAACCCCUUUCAGUGGGGAAGAAUUCCCACGGUACCUGCAGAAGAAGCCCCGGCCAACUACAUGCCAGCAGCCGCGGUAAU
rnacentral:rRNA from 1 species